UACAGAGCCACAGGCUUCCCUCAAAACAUCUCACAAGUCAGAUGCAGGCAUGAGGACAGAUGGAGAAACAUCACAGAGCCGUCAUUUCUGGAAAUUGACUCAACACAGGGGAUCUAAGCUGACAGAGCUGGGAUUCAGAGCUAUGCCUUCCAGCUCCCUAACACAGGCUUGAGCAGGUCUAACAUCCUGCUGUUCCUGUAUCCCACUUCAUUAAAACCCACAUAGUGGUUUCCAUGGGCUGAGGCUCACAUGUAGAUGAUGGUUCGUAACAUUUUAUGAAAGGAAGGUCAACCCAGAAAUGGUUAGCACGAGGCAUUGUAGACACUUGUGUCAUUCAAAAAGAACUGUGAAGAGGAAGAACAACUGACUCAUAAGUAGCUCACGGGAAACCAGCA
rnacentral:lncRNA from 1 species